rnacentral:rRNA from 1 species
GACGAACGCUGGCGGCGUGCUUAACACAUGCAAGUCGAACGGAAAGGCCUUUCUGUUGUGGGGUGCUCGAGUGGCGAUCGUGUGAGUAACACGUGUGUAACCUGCCCUGUACGUGGGGAUAUCUGUAGGAAACUGGGCUAAUACCGGAUAGGAGCGUGUGCUGCAUGGUGGGGGUUGGAAAGUUUCGGCGGUUUGGUAUGGACUCGCGGCUUAUCAGCUUGUUGGUGGGGUAGUGGCUUACCAAGGCUUUGACGGGUAGCCGGCCUGAGAGGGUGACCGGCCACAUUGGGACUGAGAUACGACCCAGACUCCACAGGGAGGCAGCAGUGGGGAAUAUUGCACAAUGGGCGGAAGCCUGAUGCAGCACAGCCGCGUGCGGGAUGACGGCCUUCGGGUUGUAACAAAAAAUCGCCUGUGACGAAGCGUGAGUGACGGUAAUGGGUAAAGAAGCACCGGCUAACUACGUG